UGUCUUGUUUGAUGAGAAACAGCUUUAAUCACUUAUUUUGGAACAUAAAACGGACUGGUCAUUUUCCUGGUAUGAACCGUGACUUUCGAAGCCUUUUAGAGCCUGUUUAGAGUGCUCGAAUAAUGUUGCGUUGAACUGAGAAAGUGUAGGCCUUUGAAAGAGCUUUCUGGAAUGAUAUGGUACAUAAUUUUUGGUUGAGAGACGAGGUCUGUAAGUUCAGUUUAGUAAACCAUGUUUUUCUGCGCUCUGUAUCUGCUAUCUCUGCCAGUGAACUUCAACGUGAUUUUUCACCUUGUUAAUGUGCCCAGAAAAUUCUUUGAUGAACUAGAAAGAGGUAAUUAGGAGGAGUAGUCUAUAGCCUUUAUUUCGAGUUGGAGUCCUUGCUCUGAUACGUAGCACUCGGGGGGGGGGGGGGGGGAAUGGACGCUUGUUUUCCUUCUGUUAUAAUUUGAAUUAAGUUGUUAUUUGAGAAGUUGUUUCUGUUUUAAGUUGUGGGCAAGAUACUAUGUUUUCUUUAAGUUUUAAAGACACUGGAUUCGCUGCAUAACUAUUUGUCAAAGUGAACUAGUUCAAAGACUAAUUAACUGUCACAAGAGCAUUUAAGUUUAUUUAUGAGUUCAUCUCAAAGUUUAUGUGCUAUGUAUCUGUUACAGGAGCAUUAUGAUAAUGUUUUAAGUGAUUAUGUAAUGCCCCAUGAGUGUUAGAAUU